rnacentral:lncRNA from 1 species
CCGGCGCCCCUGGUGGGUUCGGAGGUGGACCCGGACCAAUCUACUCAUCCUUCUCCCCCUUCGCCAACCCGUCCUCUCCACCUGCAGUGCCCCAUCUGGGUGGUGGCAGUGGUGGUGGUGGUGGUGGUGGUUUGGAGGUGGAGGUGGAGUCUUUGGUAUCCGGGUGCAGCAGGGCGAUUGCGGGCAUCUUGCAUGGCCUUGCGGAGAUGGAGGCGCAGGGACAGAUCAACAAGGACGUCAGGUGGGGGCCGGCGGAUGGGGGAAAGACGAACCACACACGAUUGAAGCUGCUGCCAGGGCAAGAGAGUAUCAAACGUAGAACUGACCGAAAGGCGUCCUUGGAGACCGUGACCUCGGGAUGACGAAGUGAAGAGGAUGUCGGAAAGACUACCUACCUACGCCGCCAGAACUAAAAAAGAAGAAUUAGUAUUGCCAAGCCGUAAAGAAGUAGGUG